rnacentral:rRNA from 1 species
UACGGAGGGAGCUAGCGUUGUUCGGAAUUACUGGGCGUAAAGCGCACGUAGGCGGCGAUUCAAGUCAGAGGUGAAAGCCCGGGGCUCAACCCCGGAACUGCCUUUGAAACUAGAUUGCUAGAAUCCUGGAGAGGUGAGUGGAAUUCCGAGUGUAGAGGUGAAAUUCGUAGAUAUUCGGAAGAACACCAGUGGCGAAGGCGACUCACUGGACAGGUAUUGACGCUGAGGUGCGAAGGCGUGGGGAGCAAACAGG